rnacentral:rRNA from 1 species
AUUGAACGCUGGCGGCAGGCUUAACACAUGCAAGUCGAACGAGUGGCGGACGGGUGAGUAAUGCUUGGGAAUCUAGCUUAUGGAGGGGGAUAACUACGGGAAACUGUAGCUCAUACCGCGUACCCUAGGAUGAGCCCAAUGGGGAUUAGGUAGUUGGUGAGGUAAAGGCUCACCAAGCCGACGCUCUCUAGCUGGUCUGAGAGGAUGACCAGCCACACUGGGACUGAGGCACGGGCCAGACUCCUACGGGAGGCAGCAGGGGGGAAUAGUGCGACAUGGGGGAAACCCUACGCAGCCAUGCCGCGUGAAUGAAGAAGGCCUUCGGGUUUUAAAGUUCUUUCUGUAGCGAGGCGUUAACUACAGAAGAAGCACCGGCUAACUCCGUGCCAGCCGCCGCGGUAAUUC